CUGGCUCAGCAGACACUGGGAUCUGUGGAAAAACUUUCAUUCAGUGGACUGGGACUGACCCCGAUUGACUGUGCAGUCCUGUCUCAUGCCAUCAGGCUCUGUGAUACAAUCAAAGACCUAGAUCUGGAGAGCUGCCACAUUCAGUGUGAAGGUUCCAGCGGCUGGGACCGGCUCUGCACAAGUGUCAGUGCGUGAGACUGGGGAGACAACGACCUGGGAGAUUCCGGUGUGAAACUGGCGUCUGCGGCUCUGAGGAACCCGGACUGUAAAAUACACACACUGCGGCUGCAACGUGUCGGUCUCACAGAUUCUGGAGCCGAGGAUCUCGUCUCCGCUCUCAGUACAAACCACACGGUUACGUGGCUGGACCUAAGUGGGAAUAAACUGGGAAAUUCCGGAGUGAAACUGGUGUCUGCGGCUCUGUGGAACCCGGACUGUAAAAUACAGAGACUGUGGCUGCAACGUGUCGGUCUCACAGAUUCUGGAGCCGAGGAUCUCGUCUCCACUCUCAGUACAAAGCCCUCACUGACGAAGCUGUACCUGACACACAAACUCCCUCACAGACCGAUGUGUCCCCGCUCUCCCCGCCUCAUACUGAACCUCCCGAGUCUGGAGCUGAUCGGGGUGAGGGUGAAUAAGUUCAGUGCGACUGGGAAGAAGGAACUGAGGUCGCUGCAGGACUCCAGACCCGGACUGAGAGUGGACGUGUGAACAUCUCUGGGUGUAAACGUCACCGCCGUGGGGACCGGAAUAUUGUUGGCCGAUUCCUCGCCCUCCCCUUUAAACGGCCGCCCUCGCCUUUAAACCCCAACGCUUCCCGGGCCGGCCGGGCGGUGACAUCAGAGGCGACCCUGCCCGCUGUCACGUGACCCGGGUACGCGCUGCUGCUGCUGAUGCCGGAUAUCCGGUGCUGCCCUCCAGUGGGGGACGGGGGAAUUGCAG